UUAGGUUAAUAUAUGCUACCGAAGACAGCAGGGGGCGCGAGCCUUAAUCGUCCUGCCGAGGAAGAAUCCAAUGAGAUAUUUAUGGAUCCUCUAUGUCUAGGUGACAUAGAGUUUUUUGUUUUCGACA
rfam:Trichococcus sp. R210 isolate Trichococcus_R210 genome assembly, contig: TR210DRAFT_scaffold-9